rnacentral:tRNA from 1 species
GCUCAGACAGUUCAGUUGGUUGAGCAUGAGACUCUUAAUCUCCGGGUUGUGGGUUCGAUUCCCACAUUGGGGA